rnacentral:rRNA from 1 species
GACGAACGCUGGCGGCGUGCUUAACACAUGCAAGUCGAACGGUAAGGCCCUUCGGGGUACACGAGUGGCGAACGGGUGAGUAACACGUGGGUGAUCUGCCCUGCACUUCGGGAUAAGCCUGGGAAACUGGGUCUAAUACCGGAUAGGACAACUGCCUGCAUGGGUGGUGGUGGAAAGCUUUUGCGGUGUGGGAUGGGCCCGCGGGCUAUCAGCUUGUUGGUGGGGUGAUGGCCUACCAAGGCGACGACGGGUAGCCGGCCUGAGAGGGUGACCGGCCACACUGGGACUGGGAUACGGACCAGACUCCUACGGGAGGCAGCAGUGGGGAAUAUUGCACAAUGGGCGCAAGCCUGAUGCAGCGACGCCGCGUGAGGGAUGACGGCCUUCGGGUUGUAAACCUCUUUCAGCACCGACGAAGCGCAAGUGACGGUAGGUGCAGAAGAAGGACCGGCCAACUACGUGCCAGCCGCCGCAGUAA